UGCAAGUCGAACGGUAACAGAGAAAAGCUUGCUUUUUUGCUGACGAGUGGCGCACGGGUGAGUAACGCGUAUACAAUCUACCUUUUACAGUGGGAUAGCCCAGAGAAAUUUGGAUUAAUACCGCAUAGUAUUAUUAAUUGGCAUCGAUUGAUAAUUAAAGUUUCGGCGGUAAAAGAUGAGUAUGCGUUCUAUUAGCUAGAUGGUAAGGUAACGGCUUACCAUGGCAACGAUAGAUAGGGGCCCUGAGAGGGGGAUCCCCCACACUGGUACUGAGACACGGACCAGACUCCUACGGGAGGCAGCAGUGAGGAAUAUUGGACAAUGGGCGCAAGCCUGAUCCAGCCAUGCCGCGUGCAGGAAGACUGCCCUAUGGGUUGUAAACUGCUUUUAUACAGGAAGAAACACCCCGACGUGUCGGGGCUUGACGGUACUGUAAGAAUAAGGAUCGGCUAACUCCGUGCCAGCAGCCGCGGUAAUACGGAGGAUCCAAGCGUUAUCCGGAAUCAUUGGGUUUAAAGGGUCCGUAGGUGGAUAAUUAAGUCAGGGGUGAAAGUCUGCAGCUCAACUGUAGAAUUGCCUUUGAUACUGGUUGUCUUGAGUUAUUAUGAAGUAGUUAGAAUAUGUGGUGUAGCGGUGAAAUGCAUAGAUAUCACAUAGAAUACCAAUUGCGAAGGCAGAUUACUAAUAAUAUACUGACACUGAUGGACGAAAGCGU
rnacentral:rRNA from 1 species